rnacentral:miRNA from 1 species
AGAUGAAUUCUGCUCUGGUUG